rnacentral:rRNA from 1 species
UCUUGGAUGUAAAUUAAUGAUACUUUACCAGAGUACUAUGAAUCAAAUAAAAUUUAAAACUCAAAGGGCUUGGCGGUGUCUUAGACCUUUCAGGGGAACCUGUCUCAUAAUCGACAAUCCUCGUUAAACCUGACCUCUUUUUGCAUUUCAGUUUGUAUACCGUCGUCGUCAGGUAACUUCUAAAAAAUUAGGAGUUAGCAGUAUAAAUAACAUAAAUUAAUACGUCAGAUCAAGGUGCAGCUUAUAAAGAGGUGAAGAUGGGUUACAAUUAUUAACUUAUAAUAACGAAUAAUUAAAUAAAAACAAUUUCUUGUGAAGGAGGACUUGAAAGUAAAAUAUCUUAGAAAAACAAUUUGAAUGUGGCUCUGAGACGUGC